rnacentral:lncRNA from 1 species
GGAUGAUCCAGCAAUUUUGCUUCUUGGGUAUAGAUACCCAAAAGAAUUGAAAGCAGGGACUCAAACAGAUACUUGUACACCCAUGUUCAUAGCAACAAUAUUCCCAACAGCCAAAAGGUGACAACCCAAAUGUCCAUCUAGAGAUGACAUAUAUAUAUAUGCCACAUUUUGUAUAUGUAUGUUUUUUAUAUAUAUAUAUGCAUAACAUUGCAUUUAUACACACACACACACACACACACACACACACACACACACACACACACACUGGAUUAUUCAGCCUUAAAAAGGAAUGAAUAAUGACUGCUACAACAUGGGUGAGCCUUGAAAACGUAAGUGAAAUAAGCCAGGUACAACGACAUGAUUCCACUCUUAGGAGGUAGUGUAGUUAAAUUCAGAGACUCUUAGGGAUUACCAGGGGCUAGGGAGAGGAGAGAAUGGGGAGGUACUAUAUAAUAGGUACAGAAUUUGUUUGAGAUGAUGGAAAUAUUCUGGAAAUAAUAGUUGCACAACUUUGUGCGUGUAAUUAACACCACUGAAUUGUACACUCAUAAUGGCUAAAAGAUUUAUGUAAUGCAUGUUUCUCUACCAUAAAAACGAAAAGCAAAGAGCUCAACAGAUACAAUCUAAGAUCACAACCAAUCACUGGAAAACCUCGUUUUAAUUUUAAUUCCAGCAUCUACAUUGGACAAUUAGCAUUUGUAAAAACCUUUUCAUGCUUUGAGAACUAAAUGAAAAGACACUCAUGUUGAAAGCUUACCAGAUGCUACUUUUCAGUGUAUGUGCAUUUGUUUUAAACUGAAUGCACUAAGUAGCAUUUGCAGGAUGAACAUGGAUAACAAUACUUGAGGGUUAGAAUUCCUCGCUAUCCAACCACACAUUGUAUUAUACAGGCUGGCGACAACAGCAUCCAUUCUCAUUAGGUAUUUGGAAAUUAUUUUAGUGUCUUGCAUUUGGCCUCACUAUCAAUCACCAUCAAUAGAAAAGUUAUUUCAAACUAGCUCAUUCUAAAUAGACAACUAAGUGGUAGCUUCCAUGAUGUCUUAGGUUCUUUGCGGGGUGGAAGAGCAGGGUAAAUGCUCCCUGCACAUAAUAUACUUAACAUAUUUCAAGUAUCAUUUUACUCUUCAUAUGACAAGUGAGAAAAUGCUGAUUUAUUUAUUUCCUCCCCCUUUGUAGGUGGGAAAUAGAAGGCAUUUGAGCUGAGAUAUUACGACGCCAAAACCUUUAUCAGCUUCUCCAAAUAUUAUUUGCACUCUUCCACUUUAUUUUUUUUUCUUUUUAGGGCCGCACGUGUAGCAUAUGAAAAGUGUCCAGCUGCAGCUCCAGCUCUGAUUUGACCUCUAGCCUAGGGAUCCUGGGGACUUCCAUGUGCCUGGAGUGUGGCCCUAAGAAGCAAAAAAAAAAAAAAAAAAAAAAAAAAAAAAAUUUNGGCAGAGCUGACCCCCACAAUGAUGCAAGAAGUGGCUUUCUAGUCACCCACAGGACAUAUGACAAUGUGGAGGGGGUCAGGAAUUUGGUUUGCUCAGAUAGCCAAUUUAACUGUAAAAAAAUAGCUGAAAAGCUAAAUUUAGACAGUCAAGACUCAUUCUGAAAGAAAGCUUGCUCCGGAGGGAAAAAAAUCCUAGCUGUUGUGGUUGAUGAUCCUGUAGAGAGAGGCCAAACCAAAACAGAGUUUCACUGGAACCACCACUUGGGUGGAUAUUCAGGGCAGUCCUACAAUUUUUUUCAUUGGUCUUGGAGGAACAAAAAUGAGCUGAGCUUCCUCAUUUUUCAUCAGCUCUAUAGGUACAAUGAUUUAAGCAGAGUGAAACCUUUAGAGUCGAGUGUGACAAAGUAGAGAGCAUGGGGCUAGUUUAUUGGGAGGAUCCUAGCAAAUCGUUAGCUCCGAAUGAGCAGCUAAACAUGGGAGCAUUUCUCUUAUUUCAAGCUGAGCUCAUUUGAGUAACAAGUAGGUUACCUGCAGGCUGGGAGUUACACUGUCAACAGGGAGCUAGAGCUCAAUGUUACUCUUUGUUUUUUUUCUUACUGCCAUGGCAGGUGGAAGUUCCUGGGCCAGGAUCAAAACCAAGCCACUACAAGGACAACUCCGGAUCCUUAACCUGCUGCAUCAUAAGAGAUCAGUGUUAUGUAUUGUUAUACAGAAUAGAUGAAAAUGGUUUCACUUUAAACGUUUAAAGAAAAUAAUGCAAGGAAAAGUAUUUCAGAUGUUUUUGUGUUAACAUUAGCAUUUUAGUUAAGGAGCUAGUUAAAUCAUGUUCCUCCUCAUAAGAAUAUUGAGUCAACAAGAGUUUAUUUAGGAACUUGGAUCUUUGCUGCCCCAGUUUCCUUACCAGUCUCUAGUAAGAUGCUCUAAUCAGUCAAUAUCUUUAUUGUUGCUGCCCAGAUAAACCAGCAUUACAGACUAUAGAUGACUUAAUCCAGGGCCUUGUGGCAGUGACCUCAGAGAACUAGCAUUGCUGCAGAGGUGCAGAUUUGAUCACUGGCCUGGAGGGUGGAUUCACUCCCUUGGUUUACAAGGCAAAAACUUAGAAUAAUUUUUCAUGUUUUCUUAGUUCCUGUUACUGAAUUUUUACAACUUGCAUUUAAGAUGGUGUUUUGUACUAUGUAAUAAAGUAUAUACGUACUUGACAUCCUAAUAAACCAUACAUUCUGUUUUGAUAA